AGAAAAUCUAGUAUCAGUUUAAUUAUUUCAGCUUCUUUAACAUUCACUGUUUCUUCAGCCGUCAUGAUGGCAGCCUGGGGCCCGGCGGCCCGUCCGCGCGCCGGCUGCGGGGCGUGAGGAGAAGAUGGCGGCAGGCCUCGCUGCGGGGCGGGCCCGGGGCCGCGCUCGGUCGGCCGGGGUCUCGCUGUCGCUCGGCGCUGCGACCGUCGCCCUCCCUCUCGUCCGCCGCCCGGCCCCCAGGACCCUCCCCGCGCCGGGGCGGGGUGCCCGUUCGCCGCCUGAGUGCAAGCGAGAAAGGACGGCCCGGCUGGGCGUCGCCGCGGGGGCGGGGAGCGGCCGGUGGCGGCGGGGCGGGGCCGCGCUUUGUUAGCGGCGGGGCGAGCACCCUCCCGCCCACGGGCCGCAGCGGGUGGCGGCGGUGCCCGGACGAGCGCCGAGGGAACCGCGGACGGGGCGGGGUCGGGCGGCGGAGCUGCGGCGGCUGCAGCUGCCGGGCCGGCAAGUGCGGGCUCGUCGACGUUCCCCGCCCAGCGCGGCGGCUCCAGGCGCGUCCCUGUGAGCGGCCUGCCCCGAGGCCUGCCCUUGGCUCGCGGCGCCUCUGAGGGCGGCGGGAACCGCCUCGGCUUCUCUGAGGAGGUCGUGUGGCGCGCGCGGCCGAGCGCCCAUCUGAGGGACGGCGCCGAGCGGCGGGAACGGGGCUGCGCGCCGCUGUCACUGCUCGUCUCCACAGCCUGGUGCCAGCUCCGUCCAGGGCCGCAUUGGUGGAAAAAUGUGUAUUUUUCACGAAACAUCAGAUGUAUAAAUGCUGUAUAUGAGAUACAGAGAUGCAUUUUCAUAUGUUUUGACAUUCGGUUAAAUUUAAUGCAUCUUUGUAAUUCUCAGAAGACAGCCGCUAAGAGUGAUGUGAACGCUGAACAUGUUUUCUGUGUUCAGACACUGAAGGGAGAUGACAUUCAGCAAACCGUGUUACAGUGCCAGUGCUCCGCAUGGACAAAACUCCGGAAUGCGCAGAGGUGUCCUGCAGUCGGGCCCGUGAGAAGCAAUUUGGGCACGGUGCCACCUGGCUGAGCAGCAGUGACUCCGCAGCAGACGAGCCAGGACUGGAAGCUGCCGGCUCCUUCUGCAGCACCCAGGUCCCAACUGCACAUCCUGGGAAGCUGGCUGGGUUCUCUAGCUAAAACACUGACCCCUUCCUCCUGCUGCAAAGGCUAUCGCUUCUUGCUUGAUUACAUCCAGAGGCAAAAGAUUAAUAGAAGAUGUCAUUAUAGAAAUGGAACUGUUUUCUAAUAGAAGUGAGGAGAAUAGCAACAGUAGAAAGUGAAGAAAGGGAUGUCAUGUCCCAUUUCUGCACAACUCCUUGCUCUGCAGUCCAGCACAACACACAUAGAAAGAACUAACUGGACUACGGGGUUGUAUCAGUUGACUUGAAAUUGUGAAACUCACCUCUGAAGAGAACAGGAUAACCAUAUAGACUGGAAGAAGGCUUGACUUCCUUCAAAAGACUUCCCUUCAGCUGAGGUUCAUCUGGAUGUUCACCAUCAUCUCCAAAGCAAACAAAUGAUCUCGUCUGAAUGGGAACCUGACUUGGGGAAAAUCUUCUCAAGCGAGGAAGACUAUCCACAGACCUUGGGGCAGUCAAGCCAUCUACGUAAGACAUUGAUGUGGACCUUCUGAUGACUCCUAAGCAAAAUUAACAUGGAAUCCAAGAUGAAGAGAAGCUGAGAUCUCUUGGAACAACACAACGGGAAUUCAAUGGCUCUCGAACUUGCACUUCAUAUGAACCAGAACAUUAUUAUGGAAACCACUAACAAUUUAUUGGUCACUUAAAAAAACCUGACAAGCAUAUUGUUCAACUGAAGCCUGAAAACCAAAGCUACUACAAAACUUCAAAUCCAAAUUCUGAAAGAUGCAGAGACUCUACCAGAAACAGAUGAGAUUACCACAAAGCACCGGCAGGUCAAGAUCCACAGGGGACUACCUGGAGCUAAAAAGCAUACAUACUCCUUCCUCUCUUAUCUUCUACAGGAAGCUAGCAGCAGAAGAAAGUGAAGGAAAACAAAAGCAAUCUCAUGAUCUGUUAAUACUAUUUGCAACUAUUCAGAAAUAGAUAAGUCUACCUUACCAGUUGUAUUAUUUAUUAAUAUGAUACUUCACUUUUCUAGCAAUACAGAGAGUUACUAUUUAUUAUGGAAAAGCUCACAACAGAUUUCCAACAAGAAUAGGCAUUAUGAUCAAUGUCUUUCUUACAUUUCUUUCUUACAUCAGUAUCUAACUGAUACGUUUAAGAUUUUACCACACUAGAGAUUUGAAAAAAAUUAAAGGGUUCACUCAUUAACUUUGUUUCAAUUUUCCAGUAUUGAACUUCGGUGCUUCUCGGACAGAAAUUAAGAAAAGCUCAUCCUAAUAACCAGAACAACCUACUCUUCACAUGGUAGUUUGGCCACCUCUCUAAUUCAGCAGAUGAGACAUUCUUAAUUAAAUUUGGGUUGGGUUCAAAACGCAAUCACAGCUUAAAAAUGCUAAAAAAUUUCUGAAGGAGUUGGGCCAGAGCAGAAGGAAGACUGCAGAAUUAGUUAGAUUUUUAGGAUGGAAUAAUCACUGUCACAACUUCUUACCAUGUGGGUAAUACGACAAACCUAAAUUAAAAAAAAACAGACUCAGGCUGAGAAUGCCAUGCUGCAGUAAACACGUAGAACUAUCAUUUAGUUUUUCCAGGAAACUGCUUAAGUGUGUAAUAAUCUUACUUUAGUUUACACAAAGGCAGUGAUCAAACCCAUCCAUUCCCUUUUCCACUUAGUAAAGUCUACUGAUGGUAAUAACUUAACCCAGGCACAGAUGGAAUGAAAAAAUAAGGGAAAACUGCACUAUUAAAUACUCAGACCAGAAAUUAUACACAUAUUUCAGCAAUAGCCAAACCCUGUACAAAAAUGUAGUCAGUUUUUUCACAGCUUUGCUGAGGUAUGUGAGGGACAGGCAAUGCCGUAAAGUAACAGGACAUGCCACCCAUUUCAUACUACAACAUGAAGAAUGCAUGAGCCGAUGGAAUAUGGAGCCAAAUACUCAGAUGCUGUAGUCUGAAGAUAAAUGCUAGCAAAUGCUUGACAGGAGUCUCUUCAUAGUUUAGCUGAAAAUAUGAACAACUGAUUUAUAAAAGAUUUUCGCUGUCGUUCUCUGUGGAAAGUUCGCAUUCAGUACGAUUUGUAGUUCCGAAACACCAGAUUUAGGCAUGUGUUUAAUAUGUUUUCUAAAUCUCAGAUAUUUAUAUGUGUGCAAGCAUCAUUAACUUGAGCAAAAACAUUUGCCAAGUACAGUUACAUUAAAAAAACAAAACAGUUAAUCAUCAGUUGAACGGACCCAUGUUUCUCAAAGAAAACCUACAAUAAUGAGUUGAAAACAUUACAAUCUUCCUGCAUUUAAAAAAAAGAUUUAAAUUCCUUAAAUACUUACAACUAGAAGUGACUGAAUGCUCCAGAUCCUAGACUUACUUUCUAAAAGCAGAUUGCACUUGCCAUUGCAGUCACUGGAAUCUUAUUGUACAAAUGGCAUUUGAAAAAAAACAAAGAAACAGAAAAACAUAACCUGCAAUAAACUCCUGCUAGCAGAAGAGACAUCCAGGGGUCAACUGGAGCCUGAGGUUUUACCCACAUUAAGUUUUCAAGCUAAUAGGUAAUGCUAUACUAAUAUAUAUUCAUAGCAUAGAGUACCUGACAAUGUAAUUUAUGCUGCUGAGUCGCACGCCAAGGCAAAUAACCUAACAUGCACCUGGGACAACACUACCUAAAAUUCUAUAUAUUCAUAAAAUACAGAAAGAAACAAUUUUUUCCAUUAUAUGUCAACCAUGCAACAAUGGCUAUUUUGCAAGUGCAUUUGCAAUGUGGCCAACAGAAUAGGCUCUGACUGUGUAAGAGAUUCGUAAUUCAUACAGAAAACACCACAAAUGCUCACACUAACUUUAGGCAAUUUUUUCAGUCCACUGGGCUUAUUUAUGGGAUAUGGUUAUGGACCACGCAGUAUACUUCAGCAGUCAAUUCAACAACAAUGAUAUAAAUACAAAUUUUAUCUUCACAUUUCUAACAAAACAAAUUGUAAUUUAAGUGAGAAUAAACAUUACUGAUGUUUUUUGUUUUACCAAUACUGAUAAUUUUAUGUAAUUGCUCUGAUACGUGUGGGCUUCUCUCCCCCCCCCAUCACUGCUAUUAACCAUAUUAAGAUUAUAAUGCACUUGGAUUUCAAAAAUUAUUCUCAUCUUUCAAAAAUGACCUAUUUCUCUCUUUUCAGCUAGGAUAGAGUUAUCCAGAAACAUAUUAAACAUGCAAAUUUAAAUACUCUGGGACUGCAUGCAAUCUUUCCACAUUUAAACGGGCAUAAUGCUCUUUUAUUAACUCCACUCCACAAACAAACAGGAGAAACAAAACAAAAAACCCACACCCUUUUAGGAAAAUGUAUUAAACAAUUUUUGUUGUUUACUUUUAUAAGUUGGAAUAAACAUCAUCUUGGAUCAUAAAGCAAUGCUUUCCACGAUGCCACAUGCAGAUUUAUCUCUUUUGAGAUGCAUGUAAUUCACAAGGUUGAACAUUGAAAAAAACCACACAAAAGUAGGAGUAGGAUUCUGUGAUCCUCGUGUGUGUCCCUCCCAAUUCACUGUACUCUAUGACUCCAUGAAAACUGAAAACUUGCAUUCUGUAACAGUUUAAAAUCUCAGUGUUUGCAAAUGUAUGUUUACCCACACAUACCAUAUCUAAGUAAUUCCUAUAUACAAUGAAUGCUUGUUCUCAUCUGAAUUAUUUACACUCCAGCACAUACCUUCUGACCUCCUGCAGAUUCUGCACUGUGAUGCUCUUUAAGUUUUUGUUCCUGUUCCAUUAUGUCUUUCAAAUGUUCAUUUACCUUGUUUAUCCAGAACAUGACAGCAUCCUCUAUGUCAUAAGGUAGAUCCGUCGCUUGGAAGAAAGACGAAUACUGCUGAGUGCACGCAAUCACUUUCUCAACGCUGACCAUCUCUACGGUAUACGCCAUCAUAAGAGUAUCGAUCAUAGCCAAAUGAGCACUCUACAAAGAGAAAUAGUAAUGCCUCAUUAUUAUGCAAAUUGAAAUACCAUUUUCUUACGUACUGUUUGCAAACACAGCCAGAUGCAUACAGAGACCCAAACUGUAAAUGCUACAGGUUUUCUGCCUGGUUUUCAGUAUUUGAAUCAGAGACAAACAGCAGAAACACGCACAACAGAUUUGAGAAAGCAAGACAAUGCAAAAAAAAAAUGCUUACCAUGAAUUAAAGUAACUUCUGUAACAAAACAAACAUGAAAAGUAAAGAAAUCAAAUGGAAAGAAAAAACAACUUCCGAGAUUCAAACGUUACUUCAACUUGAUGUUUUAGCAAAGCCUAAGAGGGCUUCUGAGAUCUCAAGGAAAAUAAUCCCCCUGGCCUGAUCCAUGUUAUUUGUACUGGAAAUAAAAACAGACUGGCUGCCAAGCAACCUUCAUUAUCAUUACAUUGCUGCAUACGUGCAAGUUUACCUGUUUUUCAAGUCACAGUCUAGGAAGACACAAUUACACUAACAUAACUAAAAAGCAGAAUGACAGAAAACAGUUAUUUUUCUUCUAGCAAACUCAUCUAACACAGAUGAAGCUAAACACACACAACUAUCUUGAAAACAGGCACAUACUGGUAAAUAAAACAUGGUUUCCAUUAAUGCAGAUGCUUCCAUGUAGUGAAAGACCACGUCUAUUUCCAAGUUUGCAAAAAAUUUUAUGAUGAAAAUCCUGGUUGCUUAUUUAUGCUCAUGGCUGAAAACAAAAAUGAUGCCAGUUUGUAGAGGUGGCACUUAUGAGAUUUGCUUCUGCUUCAGGACAAGCUUC
rnacentral:lncRNA from 1 species